UUCCUCGUACCCCCGCCUCCUUCGCCGGCUCCGCCCUAAGUCCGCCGCCGGAAAUCGCCUACGGCGGCGGUCAAGCUCCAAACCCACCCAAAUUUUUACCAUCGACUCCCCUCCCCCUCUGCUUUUCGAUGCCCCAAAUAUUUUCCCUCGAAUCAUCCUCAAUCAUCUCAAAUCUUAGAUCGAAAUCUCAGCCAAAAACCCUACCUCUUUCAAAUUCGACCAAAAUUGUACCCUACAGUCUCAUUGACUUCCUCAUUCUGAAACCCAAGCCAAAAUCUUUUAAAUAUAAGUAAAACUUCCCAAAUUUUGGAGCUAGGGUUGCUGUCAGCGAUAUCAGAAUUCCUAGGGUUGGCCAGUGCUUGCAUGGUUUUAAAAUUGUAUUAUGUCGUUAUUCUUGGUAAGAACAAACACACAAUACUAUUUGAAGACCACAUAUGAAUUCAGUCAAGUUGAAGACUCGAAUCAGUGAGUUAUGCUCUCCUCCCUUCUUCUUUAUUUAAUUUUGUCUUUCUCAUAAUUUUUGAUUUGUAGUUUAAUUUUCGUCUAGGUUGAUUCUGACUACAUAGUUUCUAAUUUUCGUUGUGUGAUUUCAUGAAUAAUUUGUUAUUUGAAAUACAUUUUAAUUCCCAUUUUUCUAUUGCUUACUCAAUAUUUAGUUCAUAGGGUUUCAAUUGAAUAAUCUGUUCUACACGUCAUAUCAUUUUGAUUCCGCUUAAUCUUUGGGUUUGAAUCUUAAUUUUCUUUGAGAUGUUAAUUGGAAGUUUAACUUUGCUAUUUUAAUUGUGGUUGUUGGCCCAAGUUCAGUUGAUGUUUUGAAGAUUGACAAAUGAACUCAGGAAAUGACCUGGUCCAUCUUGAGAGACACAGUUAGUCAUAACCAUUGCACAUGGAAGGCACGUGAGAAAGAUAUGUAUUGAAGAUCAUGCAGCAAAUAUCUUUUGAACUGAAUCAAAAAGAUUGCAUUGAGUUAUAAGGAGGAAAAUCUCAUAAUUAGAGAACGCAAUCCUAAGCUAGGAUAAGGAUUGGAGUUUGUAUUGGUUAAGGACUCAAAUAGACUAAGGAUAAGCAUUGGAGUCUCGAUCAAACUCUAACUGCUAAUCUACUAAAUAACCAAGUUGUUCU
rnacentral:lncRNA from 1 species